GGGGGUGUAGCUCGGUGGUAGAGCACAUGCUUAGCAUGCAGGAGGCCCUGGGUUCUAUCCCCAGCGCUUGCA
rnacentral:tRNA from 1 species